rnacentral:tRNA from 1 species
UCCCUGGAGGACUAGUGGUUAGGCCACAGCAUGCUCACCGCUGCAGCCAGGGUUUGAUUCCCGGCCAAGAAA